AGUCGAGCGAGCUUGCCUAGAUGAUUUUAGUGCUUGCACUAAAUGAAACUAGAUACAAGCGAGCGGCGGACGGGUGAGUAACACGUGGGUAACCUGCCCAAGAGACUGGGAUAACACCUGGAAACAGAUGCUAAUACCGGAUAACAACACUAGACGCAUGUCUAGAGUUUGAAAGAUGGUUCUGCUAUCACUCUUGGAUGGACCUGCGGUGCAUUAGCUAGUUGGUAAGGUAACGGCUUACCAAGGCAAUGAUGCAUAGCCGAGUUGAGAGACUGAUCGGCCACAUUGGGACUGAGACACGGCCCAAACUCCUACGGGAGGCAGCAGUAGGGAAUCUUCCACAAUGGACGAAAGUCUGAUGGAGCAACGCCGCGUGAGUGAAGAAGGGUUUCGGCUCGUAAAGCUCUGUUGGUAGUGAAGAAAGAUAGAGGUAGUAACUGGCCUUUAUUUGACGGUAAUUACUUAGAAAGUCACGGCUAACUACGUGCCAGCAGCCGCGGUAAUACGUAGGUGGCAAGCGUUGUCCGGAUUUAUUGGGCGUAAAGCGAGUGCAGGCGGUUCAAUAAGUCUGAUGUGAAAGCCUUCGGCUCAACCGGAGAAUUGCAUCAGAAACUGUUGAACUUGAGUGCAGAAGAGGAGAGUGGAACUCCAUGUGUAGCGGUGGAAUGCGUAGAUAUAUGGAAGAACACCAGUGGCGAAGGCGGCUCUCUGGUCUGCAACUGACGCUGAGGCUCGAAAGCAUGGGUAGCGAACAGGAUUAGAUAUCCUGGUAG
rnacentral:rRNA from 1 species